GGAUGCGAUCAUACCAGCACUAAUGCACGCGAUCCCAUCAGAACUCCGAAGUUAAGCGUGCUUGGGCGAGAGUAGUACUAGGAUGGGUGACCCCUGGAAGUCUCUGGUGUUGCAUCCC
rnacentral:rRNA from 1 species